CCUACGGGUGGCAGCAGUGAGGAAUAUUGGUCAAUGGACGAGAGUCUGAACCAGCCAAGUAGCGUGAAGGCUGACUGCCCUAUGGGUUGUAAACUUCUUUUAUAUGGGAAUAAAAUGUUCCACGUGUGGGAUUUUGUAUGUACCAUAUGAAUAAGGAUCGGCUAACUCCGUGCCAGCAGCCGCGGUAAUACGGAGGAUCCGAGCGUUCUCCGGAUUUAUUGGGUUUAAAGGGAGCGUAGGUGGAUUGUUAAGUCAGUUGUGAAAGUUUGCGGCUCAACCGUAAAAUUGCAGUUGAAACUGGCAGUCUUGAGUACAGUAGAGGUGGGCGGAAUUCGUGGUGUAGCGGUGAAAUGCUUAGAUAUCACGAAGAACUCCGAUUGCGAAGGCAGUUCACUGGACUGCAACUGACACUGAGGCUCGAAAGUGUGGGUAUCAAACAGGAUUAGAUACCCCUGUAGUC
rnacentral:rRNA from 1 species